rnacentral:rRNA from 1 species
AGAACGAACGCUGGCGGCAGGCUUAACACAUGCAAGUCGAGCGCUGUAGCAAUACAGAGCGGCGCACGGGUGAGUAACACGUGGGAACAUGCCUUUCGGUUCGGAAUAACUCAGGGAAACUUGUGCUAAUACCGGAUACGCCCUUACGGGGAAAGAUUUAUUGCCGAAAGAGUGGCCCGCGUUGGAUUAGCUAGUUGGCGGGGUAAAAGCCCACCAAGGCGACGAUCCAUAGCUGGUCUGAGAGGACGACCAGCCACACUGGGACUGAGACACGGCCCAGACUCCUACGGGAGGCAGCAGUGGGGAAUCUUGGACAAUGGGGGAAACCCUGAUCCAGCCAUGCCGCGUGAGUGAUGAAGGCCCUAGGGUUGUAAAACUCUUUCGGCGGGGACGAUAAUGACGGUACCCGCAGAAGAAGCUACCGGCUAACUUCGUGCCAGCAGCCGC